UAGGGAAUAUUGGUAAUCUGGGAAACCGGGAACCAGCAACGCCGCGUGCACGAUGAAGGCCUUCGGGUCGUAAAGUGCUUUUUGAAGGGAUGAGGAAGGACAGUACCUUCAGAAUAAGCCUCGGCUAACUACGUGCCAGCAGCCGCGGUAAAACGUAGGAGGCGAGCGUUAUCCGGAUUUACUGGGCGUAAAGCGUGUGUAGGCGGUUUGAUAAGUUGGAUGUGAAAGCUCCCGGCUCAACUGGGAGAGGUCGUUCAAAACUAUCAGACUAGAGAGUGGUAGAGGGAGGUGGAAUUCCGCGUGUAGUGGUGAAAUGCGUAGAUAUGCGGAGGAACACCAGUGGCGAAAGCGGCCUCCUGGCCCAUUUCUGACGCUCAGACACGAAAGCUAAGGUAGCAAACGGG
rnacentral:rRNA from 1 species